UACGGGAGGGGCUAUCGUUGUUCGGAAUUACUGGGCGUAAAGCGCACGUAGGCGGCCUUGUAAGUUGGGGGUGAAAUCCCGGAGCUCAACUCCGGAACUGCCUUCAAAACUACAAAGCUAGAGGAUGUGAGAGGAUAGUGGAAUUCCGAGUGUAGAGGUGAAAUUCGUAGAUAUUCGGAAGAACACCGGUGGCGAAGGCGACUGUCUGGCACAUUUCUGACGCUGAGGUGCGAAAGCGUGGGGAGAAAACAGG
rnacentral:rRNA from 1 species